rnacentral:rRNA from 1 species
UUAACGAGUGGUCGCCACACUGGAUGAGAUACGGCCAGACUCCUACGGAGGCAGCAGUCGAGAAUAGUCUACAAUGGGGAACCUGAUAGUGCGACGCCGCGUGAACGAAGACUCCUUCGGGGUGUAAAGUUCUUUUCUAUGUGAGCAAUGAUAUUAAGAUGAAUAGUUUUAGUAUAGAGAUAUUAGCAUAGGAAUAAGCUCCGGCUAACUCCGUGCCAGCAGCCGCGGUAACACGGGGGGAGCAAGCGUUGUCCGGAAUUACUAGGCGUAAAGGGCAAGUAGGCGGAGAUGUAAGUCAGUGUUAAAGGCAUCGGCUCAACCGGUGUAAGGCAAUUGAUACUGCAUUUCUAGAGUAAGGUAGGAGAAGACGGAAUUCCUGGUGUAGCGGUGGAAUGCGCAGAUAUCAGGAGGAACACCGGUGGCGAAGGCGGUCUUCUAUGCCAUUACUGACGCUCAAUUGCGAAGGUGUGGGUAUCAAACAGGAUUAGAUACCUGGUAGUCCACACAGUAAACGAUAUGCACUAGAUGUUGGGAGAGAUAAUCUUUCAGUGUCGUAGCUAACGCGUUAAGUGCAUCGCCUGGGGAGUACGAUCGCAAGAUUAAAACUCAAAGGAAUUGACGGGGCCCCGCACAAGCGGUGGAGCAUGUGGUUUAAUUCGAUGCAACGCGAAGAACCUUACCUGGGCUUGACAUCCCGAGAAUUUUCCAGAGAUGGAGAAGUGCCUUUCGGGGAACUCGGAGACAGGUGCUGCAUGGCUGUCGUCAGCUCGUGUCGUGAGAUGUUGGGUUAAGUCCCGCAACGAGCGCAACCCCCUAUCUCUAGUUGCCAUCACGUAAUGGUGGGGACUCUAGAGAGACUGCC